rnacentral:rRNA from 1 species
UACAGAGGGUGCAAGCGUUGUUCGGAAUUAUUGGGCGUAAAGCGCGUGUAGGCGGCCUUGCAAGUCGGGUGUGAAAUCCCUCAGCUUAACUGAGGAAGUGCGCCCGAAACUGCAGAGCUUGAGUGCCGGAGAGGAUGGCGGAAUUCCCCAAGUAGAGGUGAAAUUCGUAGAUAUGGGGAGGAACACCGGUGGCGAAGGCGGCCAUCUGGCCGGUAACUGACGCUGAGACGCGAAAGCAUGGGGAGCAAACAGG